UUGCACUUUUUGGACGUCGACCGGCGCACGGGUGAGUAACGCGUAUCCAACCUUCCCAUGACUAAGGGAUAACCUGCCGAAAGGCAGACUAAUACCUUAUAGUCUUCACUGACGGCAUCAGAUGUGAAGUAAAGAUUUAUCGGUUAUGGAUGGGGAUGCGUCUGAUUAGUUAGUUGGCGGGGUAACGGCCCACCAAGGCAACGAUCAGUAGGGGCUCUGAGGGGAAGGUCCCCCACAUUGGAACUGUGACACGGUCCAAACUCCUACGGGAGGCAGCAGUGAGGAAUAUUGGUCAAUGGGCGAGAGCCUGAACCAGCCAAGUAGCGUGCAGGACGACGGCCCUAUGGGUUGUAAACUGCUUUUGUAUGGGGAUAAAGUCAAUCACGUGUGAUUGUUUGCAGGUACCAUACGAAUAAGGACCGGCUAAUUCCGUGCCAGCAGCCGCGGUAAUCCGGAAGGUCCGGGCGUUAUCCGGAUUUACUGGGUUUAAAGGGAGCGUAGGCUGGAGAUUAAGUGUGUUGUGAAAUGUAGACGCUCAACGUCUGACUUGCAGCGCAUACUGGUUUCCUUGAGUACGCACAACGUUGGCGGAAUUCGUCGUGUAGCGGUGAAUGCUUAGAUA
rnacentral:rRNA from 1 species